UACAGAGGUGGCAAGCGUUGUUCGGAAUUACUGGGCGUAAAGGGCGCGUAGGCGGCCAUCUAAGUCAGACGUGAAAUCCCCCGGCUUAACCUGGGAACUGCGUUUGAAACUGGGGAGCUGGAGUGUAGAAGAGGGGGGUGGAAUUCCAGGUGUAGCAGUGAAAUGCGUAGAUAUCUGGAGGAACACCGAUGGCGAAGGCAGCCCCCUGGGCUAACACUGACGCUCAUGCACGAAAGCGUGGGGAGCAAACAGG
rnacentral:rRNA from 1 species